GUCCCAGGUAGCCUUGUGGUUAAGGUGCUCGACUCACAGUCGUUCAUCCUGGGUUCGAGUCCCAGUUGGGGCC
rnacentral:tRNA from 1 species